UGGAGAUACCGGUAAACAUUAUUAAUAAGAUGUCAGAGGGAGGAGAGGAUUUAGUCACAACCAAUGGUACUCUACAGAGACACAUAAACACACAGGCUGAUAAAACACGUCAUAAAUGUGAUGUGUGUGCUAAAGAAUUUAGUCAGAGUUAUACCUUAAAGAGACACAUGAGGAAGCACACCGGUGAAACACCAUAUAAAUGUGAUAUGUGUGCUAGAGGAUUUAGUCAAAGUAGUGACUUAAAGAAGCAUAUAAGAACACAUACAGGUGAAAAACCAUAUAAAUGUGAUGUUUGUGGUAGACAAUUUUCCCGAAAUAGUUUCCUCACUGGACAUAUGCUAAUACAUACUGGAGUUAAACCUUAUGACUGUGAUGUAUGUGGUAAAAGUUUUGGUAAGCUUUGGAAUUUACAGAGACACAUGAGAACACAUACAACUGAUAAACCUUAUGAUUGUGAUGUAUCUGGUAAAAAGUUAUGUAGCCUUGGCAAUUCGCAGAGACACAUGAGAACCGAUACUGGAGAAAAACCUCAUGACUGUGAUAUAUGUGGUAAAGGGUUUAGUCAUCGUGGUAAUUUAAAUGUCCACAUGAGAACACAUACAGGUGAAAAACCUUAUGAUUGUGACGUAUGUGGUAAAGUGUAUAGUCAGUCAAGUAGUUUACAAAGACACAUAAGAACACACACAGGGGAUAAACCUUAUGAUUGCGAUGUAUGUGGCAAAGGGUUUAGUGA
rnacentral:lncRNA from 1 species